GACGAACGCUGGCGGCGCGCUUAACACAUGCAAGUCGAACGUGAAACCCGGGCUUGCCCGGGCGGAAAGUGGCGAACGGGUGCGUAACACGUGAGGAACGUGCCCCGAAGACCGGGAGUAACUCGAGGAAACUACGUGCUAAUACCGGAUGUCCUCACCGGAUCGCAUGGUCUGGUGAGGAAAUGGAUUCCGCUUCGGGAUCGCCUCGCGGCCUAUCAGCUUGUU
rnacentral:rRNA from 1 species